rnacentral:rRNA from 1 species
UGGGGAAUUUUGGACAAUGGGCGAAAGCCUGAUCCAGCAAUGCCGCGUGUGUGAAGAAGGCCUUCGGGUUGUAAAGCACUUUUGUCCGGAAAGAAAUCCUUGGCUCUAAUACAGUCGGGGGAUGACGGUACCGGAAGAAUAAGCACCGGCUAACUACGUGCCAGCAGCCGCGGUAAUACGUAGGGUGCAAGCGUUAAUCGGAAUUACUGGGCGUAAAGCGUGCGCAGGCGGUUUGUUAAGACCGAUGUGAAAUCCCCGGGCUCAACCUGGGAACUGCAUUGGUGACUGGCAGGCUAGAGUAUGGCAGAGGGGGGUAGAAUUCCACGUGUAGCAGUGAAAUGCGUAGAGAUGUGGAGGAAUACCGAUGGCGAAGGCAGCCCCCUGGGCUAAUACUGACGCUCAUGCACGAAAGCGUGGGGAGCAAACAGGAUUAGAUACCCUGGUAGUCCACGCCCUAAACGAUGUCAACUAGUUGUUGGGGAUUCAUUUCCUUAGUAACGUAGCUAACGCGUGAAGUUGACCGCCUGGGGAGUACGGUCGCAAGAUUAAAACUUAAAUGAAUUGACGGGGUCAUAGCUG